UUAUAGUCGGAGGUUUACGGUAUCGGCUAAACAAGCUCAAUAUCCUUUUUUCUUAAAAUUUUAUUGAAGGGAAUAAUGUAAGUAACGUUCCAUAGAAUUUUUAAAAAUUGAAGAAAAAAAUCAUUAUACGAGAAAGAUCUUUUAUGCAUAUUUUUAAAUUUUUAAAACGGCUGGAAAAAGACAAAUUUUCGGAGCUUAAUUAUUCUAAGCACGCUGUUACCAUGGUAACAGACUUUAAGCGCAAAAGUAGUAAAUUGCAACGUUCAGGAGCAUUGUCAAUGUGUCCAAUAAAUUUCGUCUUCAUGUUAUGUAAAGUGAAGAAACGGGAGUUUUCUGGAUACA